AAGACUGUGCUUCACAGGAUCAUUUCUGUAGGCUAGUUUUCACAACAAGUUUUUUCCGAAAGGGGAAACGAAGAGU